rnacentral:tRNA from 1 species
GCGCCCGUAGCUCAAUGGAUAGAGUAUUGGUCUUCGAAACCAAGGAUGAGGGUUCGAUUCCUUCCGGGCGCA